rnacentral:rRNA from 1 species
CCUACGGGAGGCAGCAGGGAGGAAUAUUGGUCAAUGGGCGGGAGCCUGAACCAGCCAAGCCGCGUGAGGGAAGAAGGUACAGCGUAUCGUAAACCUCUUUUGUCAGGGAACAAAGGCGGGGACUAGUCCCCGGAUGAGGGUACCUGAAGAAAAAGCAUCGGCUAACUCCGUGCCAGCAGCAGCGGUAAUACGGAGGAUGCGAGCGUUGUCCGGAUUUAUUGGGUGUAACGGGUGCGCAGGCGGCCUGUUAAGUCAGCGGUAAAAGCCCGGGGCUCAACCCCGGCGAGCCGUUGAAACUGGCGGGCUUGAGUUGGAGAGAAGUACGCGGAAUGCGCGGUGUAGCGGUGAAAUGCUUAGAUAUCGCGCAGAACCCCGAUUGCGAAGGCAGCGUACCGGCUCCACACUGACGCUGAGGCACGAAAGCGUGGGUAUCGAACAGGAUUAGAUACCCCAGUAGUC